UACGGAGGGUGCAAGCGUUAUCCGGAUUCACUGGGUUUAAAGGGCGCGUAGGCGGCUUGGCAAGUGGAAGGUGAAAUCCCUCGGCUUAACCGAGGAACUGCCCUCCAAACUGCUUUGCUUGAGGCCGGGAGAGGUGAGUGGAAUUCCCAGUGUAGCGGUGAAAUGCGUAGAUAUUGGGAGGAACACCAGUGGCGAAGGCGGCUCACUGGACCGGUUCUGACGCUGAGGCGCGAAAGCGUGGGGAGCAAACGGG
rnacentral:rRNA from 1 species